rnacentral:rRNA from 1 species
AUGCAAGUCGAGCGGUAACAGAACUAGCUUGCUAGUUGCUGACGAGCGGCGGACGGGUGAGUAACGCGUGGGAAUCUGCCUGGUAGUGGGGGACAACAGUCGGAAACGACUGCUAAUACCGCAUACGCCCUUCGGGGGAAAGUGGGGGAUCUUCGGACCUCACGCUAUCAGAUGAGCCCGCGUCGGAUUAGCUUGUUGGUGAGGUAAUGGCUCACCAAGGCGAUGAUCCGUAGCUGGUCUGAGAGGAUGAUCAGCCACACUGGGACUGAGACACGGCCCAGACUCCUACGGGAGGCAGCAGUGGGGAAUAUUGGACAAUGGGCGCAAGCCUGAUCCAGCCAUGCCGCGUGUGUGAAGAAGGCCUUCGGGUUGUAAAGCACUUUCAGCAGUGAGGAAAGGUGUGUCGUUAAUACCGGCAUGCUGUGACGUUAACUGCAGAAGAAGCACCGGCUAACUCCGUGCCAGCAGCCGCGGUA